rnacentral:rRNA from 1 species
UUCCCCUAGUAACGGCGAGUGAAGAGGGAAGAGCCCAAGAUUGAAAGCUGGCGUCUUCGGCGUCCGCAUUGUAAUCUCAAGAAGUGUUUUCCGCUUCGGACCAUGCCUAAGUCCCUUGGAAAAGGGCAUCAUAGAGGGUGAUAAUCCCGUACAUGGCAUGGAGCGCCCGAAGCUUUGUGAUACGCUUUCUAAGAGUCGAGUUGUUUGGGAAUGCAGCUCAAAAUGGGUGGUAAAUGCCAUCUAAGGCUAAAUAUUGGGGAGAGACCGAUAGCGAACAAGUACAGUGAUGGAAAGAUGAAAAGAACUUUGAAAAGAGAGUUAAACAGUACGUGAAAUUGCCAAAAGGGAAGGGUAGGAGGUCAGAGAUGCGUCUUGGGAUUCAGCCUUGCUUUUGCAUGGUGUUUUUCCCAAGUUGCAGGCCAACGUCGGUUUUGGGCACUGGAGAAGGGUAGGAGGAACGUGGCACCUCUCGGGGUGUGUUAUAGCCUCCUACUGGAUACAGCGACCGAGACCGAGGACAGCAGCGUACUCGCAAGAGCGGGCCUUCGGGCACCUUUACGCUUAGGGCGUUGGCAUAAUGGCCCUCUACCACCCGUCUGAAAACCG